rnacentral:rRNA from 1 species
GGGACAACAGUUGGAAACGACUGCUAAUACCGCAUAAGCCCACGACCCGGCAUCGGGUUGAGGGAAAAGGAGCAAUCCGCUUUGAGAUGGCCUCGCGUCCGAUUAGCUAGUUGGUGAGGUAACGGCCCACCAAGGCAACGAUCGGUAGCCGGACUGAGAGGUUGAACGGCCACAUUGGGACUGAGACACGGCCCAGACUCCUACGGGAGGCAGCAGUGGGGAAUAUUGCACAAUGGGGGAAACCCUGAUGCAGCGACGCCGCGUGGAGGAAGAAGGUCUUCGGAUUGUAAACUCCUGUUGUUGAGGAAGAUAAUGACGGUACUCAACAAGGAAGUGACGGCUAACUACGUGCCAGCAGCCGCGGUAAAACGUAGGUCACAAGCGUUGUCCGGAAUUACUGGGUGUAAAGGGAGCGCAGGCGGGAAGACAAGUUGGAAGUGAAAUCCAUGGGCUCAACCCAUGAACUGCUUUCAAAACUGUUUUUCUUGAGUAGUGCAGAGGUAGGCGGAAUUCCCGGUGUAGCGGUGGAAUGCGUAGAUAUCGGGAGGAACACCAGUGGCGAACCCGGCCUACUGGGCACCAACUGACGCUGAGGCUCGAAAGUGUGGGUAGCAAACAGGAUUAGACACCCUGGUAGUCCACACCGUAAACGAUGAUUACUAGGUGUUGGAGGAUUGACCCCUUCAGUGCCGCAG